CGGAAAGAAAUCCCCUGCUCUAAUACAGCGGGGGGAUGACGGUACCGGAAGAAUAAGCACCGGCUAACUACGUGCCAGCAGCCGCGGUAAUACGUAGGGUGCGAGCGUUAAUCGGAAUUACUGGGCGUAAAGCGUGCGCAGGCGGUUUUGUAAGACAGGCGUGAAAUCCCCGAGCUCAACUUGGGAAUGGCGCUUGUGACUGCAAGGCUAGAGUAUGUCAGAGGGGGGUAGAAUUCCACGUGUAGCAGUGAAAUGCGUAGAGAUGUGGAGGAAUACCGAUGGCGAAGGCAGCCCCCUGGGACGUCACUGACGCUCAUGCACGAAAGCGUGGGGAGCAAACAGGAUUAGAUACCCUGGUAGUCCACGCCCUAAACGAUGUCAACUAGUUGUUGGGGAUUCAUUUCUUCAGUAACGUAGCUAACGCGUGAAGUUGACCGCCUGGGGAGUACGGUCGCAAGAUUAAAACUCAAAGGAAUUGACGGGGACCCGCACAAGCGGUGGAUGAUGUGGAUUAAUUCGAUGCAACGCGAAAAACCUUACCUACCCUUGACAUGCCACUAACGAAGCAGAGAUGCAUCAGGUGCCCGAAAGGGAAAGUGGACACAGGUGCUGCAUGGCUGUCGUCAGCUCAU
rnacentral:rRNA from 1 species